UACGUAGGGGCCUAGCGUUGUCCGGAUUUAUUGGGCGUAAAGAGCUCGUAGGCGGUUCGGCAAGUCGGAUGUGAAAUCUCCACGCUUAACGUGGAGGGGCCAUUCGAAACUGCCGUGACUCGAGUCCGGUAGGGGAGUGUGGAAUUCCCGGUGUAGCGGUGAAAUGCGCAGAUAUCAGGAGGAACACCGGUGGCGAAGGCGGUUCUCUGGGCCUUACCUGACACUGAGGAGCGAAAGCGUGGGGAGCGAACAGG
rnacentral:rRNA from 1 species